GCGAACGCUGGCGGCAGGCUUAACACAUGCCAGUCGAGCGGGCACUUCGGUGUCAGCGGCAGACGGGUGAGUAACACGUGGGAACGUACCCUUUGGUUCGGAAUAACGCUGGGAAACUAGCGCUAAUACCGGAUACGCCCUUUUGGGGAAAGGCUUGCUGCCGAAGGAUCGGCCCGCGUCUGAUUAGCUAGUUGGUGGGGUAAUGGCCUACCAAGGCGACGAUCAGUAGCUGGUCUGAGAGGAUGAUCAGCCACACUGGGACUGAGACACGGCCCAGACUCCUACGGGAGGCAGCAGUGGGGAAUAUUGGACAAUGGGCGCAAGCCUGAUCCAGCCAUGCCGCGUGAGUGAUGAAGGCCUUAGGGUUGUAAAGCUCUUUUGUCCGGGACGAUAAUGACGGUACCGGAAGAAUAAGCCCCGGCUAACUUCGUG
rnacentral:rRNA from 1 species